UGCACGCGCAGUGCAGGGUCGAUCCAGGCGCAUGCGCAUUGCUCCAACUGCCGCUUGAAAGCUGUGGAUGUGCUCGUAUUCCCACAGGGACUGUGUUCCAGCGUGAUAUGUUGGCCUCAUCUCAAGGCAGAAUAGCACCCAGCCUUUAUAGUAACUGGGAUUGUGUGCUUCUUACCUAGUGGUAGUAGCUUGGAAUUGUACUACAAGAAGAAUUUUACAGAGCAGCAGCUAUGGAUCAAGAUUCACAGAGCAGCAGCUGCGGAGCAGGAUAAAAAGCAAGAGAACCAAUUGAACAAAUGAACUGAAUUGCUUGCAAAAUAUGAUUGGUCGGCUGUUAAAUCAAGCUUUUUCGGCCAACUUAGUUAUCCAAAAAGAAAAUGGGGGAAGUGCGGAGAGUCUUAUUGACAACUGGCUAGCUGUAAAGGGUCACGUAGACACCGUGCAGCUGACCAAGCAGCUGUGCCAUCUGCAAGGACAACAAGAACAAAGGGAUGUGUGAUGGUGGUGAGAAGUUGGCCAUGAUUUUGGGAAUUCAGCAAGGGAGAAGCUAUCAGGACGAUAACUACAAGUUACAAAGAUAGUUGGGAUGAUAUGUAAUCGGGAACCAAUGAUGAGCUCUGCUUUUGCACUAUGUAUGAGCUAAUUAUCUGCACUAUAAAUGUACAUGUAGCCAAAGCAAUAAACGAGAUUUGAUGAUCAUA